rnacentral:tRNA from 1 species
GGGAAUGUGGCUCAGUGGUAGAAUAUUUGCCUAGCAUGCAUAAAGCCCUAGGUUCGAUUCCUCAGUACCA